UACGUAGGGGGCAAGCGUUGUCCGGAUUUAUUGGGCGUAAAGAGCGUGUAGGCGGCUUGGCAAGUCCGCUGUGAAAACUCGAGGCUCAACCUCGAGACGUCGGUGGAAACUGCCUCGCUAGAGUCCGGAAGAGGAGAGUGGAAUUCCUGGUGUAGCGGUGAAAUGCGCAGAUAUCAGGAAGAACACCCGUGGCUAAGGCGGCUCUCUAGUACGGUACUGACGCUGAGGAGCGAAAGCGUGGGGAGCGAACAGG
rnacentral:rRNA from 1 species